CCUACGGGUGGCAGCAGUGAGGAAUAUUGGUCAAUGGACGAGAGUCUGAACCAGCCAAGUAGCGUGAAGGAUGACUGCCCUAUGGGUUGUAAACUUCUUUUAUAAAGGAAUAAAACGAGGCACGUGUGCCUUUUUGUAUGUACUUUAUGAAUAAGGAUCGGCUAACUCCGUGCCAGCAGCCGCGGUAAUACGGAGGAUCCGAGCGUUAUCCGGAUUUAUUGGGUUUAAAGGGAGCGUAGAUGGGUUGUUAAGUCAGUUGUGAAAGUUUGCGGCUCAACCGUAAAAUUGCAGUUGAUACUGGCAGUCUUGAGUACAGUUGAGGUAGGCGGAAUUCGUGGUGUAGCGGUGAAAUGCUUAGAUAUCACGAAGAACUCCGAUUGCGAAGGCAGCUUACUAGACUGCCACUGACACUGAGGCUCGAAAGUGUGGGUAUCAAACAGGAUUAGAUACCCUGGUAGUC
rnacentral:rRNA from 1 species